UACGUAGGGACCAAGCGUUGUUCGGAUUUACUGGGCGUAAAGGGCGCGUAGGCGGCUUGACAAGUCACUUGUGAAAUCUCCGGGCUUAACUCGGAACGGUCAAGUGAUACUGUUGUGCUAGAGUGCGGAAGGGGCAACUGGAAUUCUCGGUGUAGCGGUGAAAUGCGUAGAUAUCGAGAGGAACACCUGCGGCGAAGGCGGGUUGCUGGGCCGACACUGACGCUGAUGCGCGAAAGCCAGGGGAGCAAACGGG
rnacentral:rRNA from 1 species